UACGGAGGGUGCAAGCGUUAAUCGGAAUUACUGGGCGUAAAGCGUGCGUAGGUGGUUCGUUAAGUCCGUUGUGAAAGCCCCGAGCUCAACUUGGGAAUUGCAGUGGAUACUGGCGAGCUGGAGUGCGGUAGAGGAAGGUGGAAUUCCCGGUGUAGCGGUGAAAUGCGUAGAGAUCGGGAGGAACACCAGCGGCGGAAGGCGGAGCCUCGU
rnacentral:rRNA from 1 species